GCGCUCGUAGCUCAGUUGGUAGAACGGUGAGACGGUACCCCUCACUGUCCCGGGUUCAAGUCCCGGCGGUCGCU